UACGGAGGGGGCUAGCGUUGUUCGGAAUUACUGGGCGUAAAGCGCACGUAGGCGGCUUUCUAAGUCGGAGGUGAAAUCCUGGAGCUCAACUCCAGAACUGCCUUCGAUACUGGAGAGCUCGAGUCCGGGAGAGGUGAGUGGAACUGCGAGUGUAGAGGUGAAAUUCGUAGAUAUUCGCAAGAACACCAGUGGCGAAGGCGGCUCACUGGCCCGGUACUGACGCUGAGGUGCGAAAGCGUGGGGAGCAAACAGG
rnacentral:rRNA from 1 species